rnacentral:rRNA from 1 species
GGUGGCUUUUGGGCUGUCGCAGAUGGAUGAGCCUGCGUUGGAUUAGCUAGUUGGUGAGGUAAGGGCCUACCAAGGCUACGAUCCAUAGCUGAUUUGAGAGGAUGAUCAGCCACAUUGGGACUGAGACACGGCCCAAACUCCUACGGGAGGCAGCAGUGAGGAAUAUUGGACAAUGGGGGCAACCCUGAUCCAGCAAUGCCAUGUGUGUGAAGAAGGCCUUAGGGUUGUAAAGCACUUUAGUUGGGGAAGAAAGCUUUGAGGUUAAUAGCCUUGAGGAAAAGGACGUUACCCAAAGAAUAAGCACCGGCUAACUCCGUGCCAGCAGCCGCGGUAAUACGGGGGGUGCAAGCGUUAAUCGGAAUUACUGGGCGUAAAGGGUCUGUAGGUGGUUUGUUAAGUCAGAUGUGAAAGCCUAGGGCUCAACCUUGGAACUGCAUUUGAUACUGGUAAACUAGAGUACGGUAGAGGAAUGGGGAAUUUCUGGUGUAGCGGUGAAAUGCGUAGAGAUCAGAAGGAACACCAAUGGCGAAGGCAACAUUCUGGACCGAUACUGACACUGAGGGACGAAAGCGUGGGGAUCAAACAGGAUUAGAUACCCUGGUAGUCCACGCUGUAAACGAUGAGUACUAGCUGUUGGAGUCGGUGUAAAGGCUCUAGUGGCGCAGCUAACGCGAUAAGUACUCCGCCUGGGGACUACGGCCGCAAGGCUAAAACUCAAAGGAAUUGACGGGGACCCGCACAAGCGGUGGAGCAUGUGGUUUAAUUCGAUGCAACGCGAAGAACCUUACCUGGUCUUGACAUCCUGCGAUCUUUCUAGAGAUAGAUUGGUGCCUUCGGGAACGCAGUGACAGGUGCUGCACGGCUGUCGUCAGCUCGUGUUGUGA